rnacentral:misc_RNA from 1 species
GAUGAAGAACGCAGCGAAAUGCGAUAAGUAGUGUGAAUUGCAGAAUUCAGUGAAUCAUCGAAUCUUUGAACGCACAUUGCGCCCCUUGGUAUUCCAUGGGGCAUUCCUGUUCGAGCGUCAUUUGUACCUUCAAGCUCUGCUUGGUGUUGGGUGUUUGUCUCGCCUCUGCGUGUAGACUCGCCUCAAAACAAUUGGCAGCCGGCGUAUUGAUUUCGGAGCGCAGUACAUCUCGCGCUUUGCACUCAUAACGACGACGUCCAAAAGUACAUUUUUACACUCUUGACCUCGGAUCAGGUAGGGAUACCCGCUGAACUUAAGCAUAUCAAUAAGCGGAGGA